rnacentral:lncRNA from 1 species
CUGGCAUCACGCUGAGCUAAUUUUUGUAUUUUUAGUAGAGACAGGGAUAAAGGUGGCAUUCCUGCUGCAAAGAAGUAUUUGGCAUGCAGCAAUAUCAUGUGCUGUUUCACAGUUUCAUCCAUCACCUUCCAUUUGGUGUAGGGUUGUUAGUAUGUGUAGGGUUGUGAAUAUGUGCAGUUAAAAUACCAAAUAGAUAAAAAUACAUGAUUUUAGAUUCCUUAACAGGACAU